rnacentral:rRNA from 1 species
GAUGAACGCUAGCUACAGGCUUAACACAUGCAAGUCGAGGGGCAGCAUUUCAGUUUGCUUGCAAACUGGAGAUGGCGACCGGCGCACGGGUGAGUAACACGUAUCCAACCUGCCGAUAACUCGGGGAUAGCCUUUCGAAAGAAAGAUUAAUACCCGAUGGUAUAAUCAGACCGCAUGGUCUUGUUAUUAAAGAAUUUCGGUUAUCGAUGGGGAUGCGUUCCAUUAGGCAGUUGGUGAGGUAACGGCUCACCAAACCUUCGAUGGAUAGGGGUUCUGAGAGGAAGGUCCCCCACAUAGGAACUGAGACACGGUCCAAACUCCUACGGGAGGCAGCAGUGAGGAAUAUUGGUCAAUGGGCGCAGGCCUGAACCAGCCAAGUAGCGUGAAGGAUGACUGCCCUAUGGGUUGUAAACUUCUUUUAUAUGGGAAUAAAGUUUUCCACGUGUGGAAUUUUGUAUGUACCAUAUGAAUAAGGAUCGGCUAACUCCGUGCCAGCAGCCGCGGUAAUACGGAGGAUCCGAGCGUUAUCCGGAUUUAUUGGGUUUAAAGGGAGCGUAGGUGGACAGUUAAGUCAGUUGUGAAAGUUUGCGGCUCAACCGUAAAAUUGCAGUUGAUACUGGCUGUCUUGAGUACAGUAGAGGUGGGCGGAAUUCGUGGUGUAGCGGUGAAAUGCUUAGAUAUCACGAAGAACUCCGAUUGCGAAGGCAGCUCACUGGACUGCAACUGACACUGAUGCUCGAAAGUGUGGGUAUCAAACAGGAUUAGAUACCCUGGUAGUCCACACAGUAAACGAUGAAUACUCGCUGUUUGCGAUAUACAGUAAGCGGCCAAGCGAAAGCAUUAAGUAUUCCACCUGGGGAGUACGCCGGCAACGGUGAAACUCAAAGGAAUUGACGGGGGCCCGCACAAGCGGAGGAACAUGUGGUUUAAUUCGAUGAUACGCGAGGAACCUUACCCGGGCUUAAAUUGCAUUUGAAUAUAUUGGAAACAGUAUAGCCGUAAGGCAAAUGUGAAGGUGCUGCAUGGUUGUCGUCAGCUCGUGCCGUGAGGUGUCGGCUUAAGUGCCAUAACGAGCGCAACCCUUAUCUUUAGUUACUAACAGGUCAUGCUGAGGACUCUAGAGAGACUGCCGUCGUAAGAUGUGAGGAAGGUGGGGAUGACGUCAAAUCAGCACGGCCCUUACGUCCGGGGCUACACACGUGUUACAAUGGGGGGUACAGAAGGCAGCUACCUGGUGACAGGAUGCUAAUCCCAAAAGCCUCUCUCAGUUCGGAUCGAAGUCUGCAACCCGACUUCGUGAAGCUGGAUUCGCUAGUAAUCGCGCAUCAGCCAUGGCGCGGUGAAUACGUUCCCGGGCCUUGUACACACCGCCCGUCAAGCCAUGAAAGCCGGGGGUACAAGAAGUACGUAACCGCAAGGAGCGUCCUAGGGUA